rnacentral:sRNA from 1 species
CUUAAAAUAAGAUUCACUGGAGUCAUGAGCGCACCCGGGCUCCCCAGAAAACUCUGAGUUCAGGCCUCCUGCUGAGGAGGGAGCUGCUCUGAGUGGUACAGGUCGAACUUGGAGCCUCGGCCCCUCCCCAGCCCCAGGAGCUCAUCCCUGCCUCCCCAUCCCGCCGCCUGCAGGGUCAGCCAGCAGCCGGCCCGGGGCGUCGGCCACCCCACCCAAGUCCCCGGUCUACCUGGACCUGGCCUACCUGCCCAGCGGGAGCAGCGCCCACCUGGUGGAUGAGGAGUUCUUCCAGCGCGUGCGCGCGCUCUGCUACGUCAUCAGUGGCCAGGACCAGCGCAAGGAGGAGGGCAUGCGGGCCGUCCUGGACGCGCUACUGGCCAGCAAGCAGCAUUGGGACCGUGACCUGCAGGUGACCCUGAUCCCCACUUUCGACUCGGUGGCCAUGCAUACGUGGUACGCAGAGACGCACGCCCGGCACCAGGCGCUGGGCAUCACGGUGUUGGGCAGCAACAGCAUGGUGUCCAUGCAGGAUGACGCCUUCCCGGCCUGCAAGGUGGAGUUCUAGCCCCGUCGCCGACACGCCCCCCACUCAGCCCAGCCCACCCUGUCCCUAGAUUCAGCCACAUCAGAAAUAAACCGUGACUACACUUG